GGAGAAGCGUCCUAGUUAGCGGAAGUAGCUCGAGAAGCUUCCUAUUCAGUAGUAUAUAUAGGAGUCGAGGCUGAAGGGUUCUUCAGUCUCGACAACACAUCUCUUGGAGUUCUAGCUCACCUUUCUGGUGUUGUUCUUGUACUCAUCUGUUUAAUCUAGUUUUGCCACUUCUUCUUGAACUUCUUCUUAGAUUUCAAGUCUCUAUUUUGUGUCCGUGACAGUUUGUCGAGACUACAUUUUCACUGGUAUCAGAGCUAGUUCCUUCUUGUUAGAGAGUGGAUUACCCCUCUUCUUGAAGGUGUGCUAGUGUUUUAGAGGUUGCGGAU
rnacentral:lncRNA from 1 species